AGCAAUUGGGUGCAGAAGCUAACCAGGUAAGUCAUACGCCAGAGAGUGACGUGCGAGGGAGGGAAGCUAAAGGGAAUGGACGGAUAACGGAACAAGUAGCAGGAAAUGGGGGUUAAGGGAAAGCAACUCGAAGAACCGAACCUGAGCUGGACAGCCCAAUGGCGGCUCCUUAAUCGGCGAGUUCCCUUCGUGGACAUUGGGGACAGGGGGUGCAGGGUAGUCGUCAGCUCGUGUCGUGAGAGGUGGGGUUAAGUCCCGCAAC
rnacentral:rRNA from 1 species